GUUGGAUUUUUUCAUAGUUUAGAAGAUUUGUAGGCUGACAAGCUAAAGAAGUCAGUGGAGGAUGAAAUUCAUUUUCUCAAGGGAAUGGUUUCAGAACUUGAAAGUGAUCUUAUGUCGAAGUCCACAGAAGUUACAUCUGCAGUUUCAAGGAAAGAAGAAGUUUUAUCUUCUGCAUUUGCUAAAAUUGACCAUCUGAAGGAAGAAAAUUCUGUAAAAACGUGAGCAUUAUUGAAUGCAUAUGGAGGGUGUUUACUGUGUUGGAGUGUAUUUGUUUCUUGCACAUGAGGGCAUGCCUUAGUUGUAAUUCUAAUGAUAAGUUGAGCAAAGUGAAGUAUUGUUUAUUUAGAAAUGUAAAUAUAUGAUGCAUUGUAUGAUUUGAUUGCUAUUUGUAAUAAAUGCAUCCUUUUUUUUCUGAUUGCAUUUUAUAUACUAUUUUUAUCAG